rfam:Triticum aestivum genome assembly, contig: Triticum_aestivum_CS42_TGACv1_scaffold_558494_7AL
CUAUUACUCCCUCCGUUUCAUAUUACUUGUCACAGAAAUGGAUGUUUCUGGAACUAAAAUACAUCUAGAUACAUCCAUACCUGCGACAAGUAAUUCGGAACGGAGGGAGUAGAAU